AGUCAUGGCGGCCCCAGGACAGGCCGUGGGCAGCGGGGCUCAGGAGACAUGCGGUCUGGAUCGGAUUUUGGAGGCAUUGAAGCUGCUGCUGAGCCCGGGAGACGGAGUCUUGCUCUGUCGCCCAAGCUGGAGUGCAGUGGUGCGAUCUCGGCUCACUGCAACCUCCGCCUCCCGGGUUCAAGCAAUUCUCCUGCCUCAGCCUCCCGACUAAUUGGGACAACAGGCGCAUGCCACUGUGCCUGGCUAAUUUUCUUUUUUUUUUUUUUUUUAGUUGAGACAGGUUUUCACCAUAUUGGCCAGGCUGGUCUGGAACUCAUGACUUCGUAAUCCUCCCGCCUCGGCCUCCCGAAGUGCUGGGAUUACAGAUGUGAGCCACCACGUCCGGUCUUCUUUUAUACAAUUCUAAAGCUCAACAAGAUAAUCUCUGCAUGAAUUGUGUGGGGAAAAAAGUAUCGAGAAACUCAACAAGAGGUAAUACC
rnacentral:sRNA from 1 species